AACGCACAUUGCGCCCGCCAGUAUUCUGGCGGGCAUGCCUGUCCGAGCGUCAUUUCAACCCAUCAAGCCUAGCGCUUGUGUUGGAGCCCUGCGGCCGCCGCAGCCUCCUAAAAUCAGUGGCGGGCUCGCUAUCACGCUGAGUGCAGUAGUAUUCUUCUCACUCCUGUUGUGUAGCGGGUAACCAGCCGUAAAAACCCCCAUAUUCAAAGGUUGACCUCGGAUCAGGUAGGAAUACCCGCUGAACUUAA
rnacentral:misc_RNA from 2 species